rnacentral:rRNA from 1 species
GACCUGAGCUCAGGCAAGAACACCCGCUGAACUUAAGCAUAUCAAUAAGCGGAGGAAAAGAAAGAAACAUCGAUUGUCAGAGUAACGGCGAGUGAAACGACAAUAGUCCAACUUGAAAAUCUCCCUUUGGAGAAUUGUAGUCUAUAGAAGCGCCCUCUGUGGCGGUCGGAUCCCAAGUUCACUGGAAAGUGGCGUCAGAGAGGGUGAGAACCCCGUCGGAUCUAGACUUAGCUGCUCCACGAGGUGCUUUCCAAGAGUCGGGUUGUUUGGGAA